UCUUGUUAUGCAGCAAAAGUGAAAGUAAGACAGACCAGGAAACUUUUAAGUCGUCGUGCACGAGGCAGGUUAGAUUUUUAAGAACAUCGCCUUCCUAACACAGAGAGAACCCCAGUAAACCUCACCGAGGGAUAAUAAGCUGUCAUUGUGCCAUACAGGAAAGUCCUUUACCGAAGGCGCUGAACAGCUGAUGGAGUCUAUCAUCAGAGACUUUGAGGCCUCUGUAUCAUUGAAGUUGGGUCUGUGUGCAGAAUAUACAGAAGUAAGAACACAUGGCUUCUACAACACAGUCUGCCUCAGAUUACAUCAAGAGUCUAAGAUUUCACCUUGUGGAAAAGAGUCUUUUAAAGAAUCAUUCAGUGAUUCUGGAGAACUUGAAUCAGGAGAACUCGGAUAAGAAAAAAGUUUUAAGUGAUGAGGAGGUCUGUGAAAUAGAGCAAGCAGAGAAAACUGACUACAAUAAAGCCAGAAGAAUACUGGACUCAGUCAUUAAAAAAGGAGAAGCAGCCUGCUAUGAGUUCCUCAGGAUUAUUUACAUGACGAGGAAGAGGACAUUAGAUCCUGAACUGCACCCCUGGAUCAGCUGCUUUCCUUUCAAAGAAGACACAGAAAUGGAUACAAACUACUUACAAGGCUCAAGGCCAUGCCUCCGAUAUCAGGGAAAGUUGAAGUCAAAAGCACAAAAAAUAUCAGAUAAGUUUUGGAUGGCAAACAAAAAUCAGUUUAAAGGAAACAACAAGUCUGAUCUGUCGUAUAUGUCACUUGUGUUAGACACACAAGGAAAGGAUUCUCCAUCUAAAAUAAAGAAGUUAAAGAACAAGAAAAUGAA